AUUCCGCUUGGUACACAUUAAUGUAAAAAUGAGAAUGAAAAAUAUAGUCAUUAUGGGUUCCACACAAGAGAUAGAAAUUCAAAUUUGGUGGCUUGAUGUGAUGGAUAACGAUCAUAUUUUUCAUUUUAAUGAAGAAAAAAUGGGAAUCAAACAGGGGUUAAAUGAGAUGUUCUAGGGAAAAUGCUAGGGGCAAAGGUCUGGAUACUCAGGCUGACACUUUUCUUAUGCUUUUUGAAGUGUUCUGUUGCUUUGCUUUCUGCUAACUGCAAUGAAGCGAUUCACAUGAUUUGACUUGCGUGCAGUUGAGAUCGGAGGGAAAAGAUUAUGUCGUACAAGAAGGGGAUGUGAUGCUAUUCCGGUUUAAUGUAUAACUGGAAUAUCCUCGAUGGUGAAAUGCCUUAUUAGUUAUACAAUCACGUCAAGUAGAACUCGAGAGUAUUGCCAAUUUCACAUAAAGACGAUAAAUCUCUCAAAGAGGCUAUUUUUUUGGAACCAGAAUGUGUUUUUCAGAAACGUGAAGCGGAAUAGACAAUUUUUGCUUAUUCAUUGAGAAUCCCUCGAUUCAUGGAACUCGCGUCAAAUGCUUCCCUUUCAUGUAAUUUGUUUCAUAUAUUACUGAAUAAAGUUAUAUUUUAUUUUAUUAUUUUUUUCUUUUUUCUGUGGAAAAGGUUGUCUUAUACAACUUCUGUUCUGUGUGAGAAGGGGAAAAGUUCCCAAAAACGAUAUUUAUAGAUUUUGAUGUGUUAUCAAUGUUUCCAUAGGGAAAUUAUGGUACUAA
rnacentral:lncRNA from 1 species